rnacentral:rRNA from 1 species
AGAUUGAACGCUGGCGGCAGGCCUAACACAUGCAAGUCGAGCGGUAGAGAGGUGCUUGCAUCUCUUGAGAGCGGCGGACGGGUGAGUAAUGCCUAGGAAUCUGCCUAGUGGUGGGGGAUAACGUUCGGAAACGGACGCUAAUACCGCAUACGUCCUACGGGAGAAAGCGGGGGACCUUCGGGCCUCGCGCCAUUAGAUGAGCCUAGGUCGGAUUAGCUAGUUGGUGAGGUAAUGGCUCACCCAAGGCGACGAUCCGUAACUGGUCUGAGAGGAUGAUCAGUCACACCUGGAACUGAAGACACGGUCCAAGACU